GCUUGUUUCUUCGACAGUUGAGAGGUUUUAAGCCUUGCUUUUAUACAUGAAGACAUCGUUCGAGAAACAGCGUUUUGAGUUAACAACAGAGAAGGACGUCUCUGUGACUGUUCGGUCUACAUUUGGGUUGCACUCUACCAGCACCGUCCCAUUGCUGACUGGAGGAUUUCCAAGUAGGAUGCAGACAUGCAGUGUGAGCCAGACAUGUUGGAGGAACUUUUAGCUAAACCAUGAUUUACGAAGAAAGCAAGACAUAGAAGACCAAGAAGAUCAGUAGAUCACUGGAGAA